GCUCUGGGACUGUUGCCAUCUCUAUUAGUGAAUAGACUCUGGAAUGUACCUGAGAAAUGAUAUGCAUGCAGGGAUUAGUUUUUUUUCUUUUCUUUUCCUUUUUUCUCUUUUUUUUUAUUGCAUAUUUUUUGGAAAAUAAACAUGCUAUGAUGCAAAUGAUGCAGACAAGACUCGCAGGCUGUGCAUCUCAGAACACAGGAUCAAAGCUU
rnacentral:lncRNA from 1 species